CCAGCCGCCGAAGGUGGGGUAGAUGAUUGGGGUGAAGUCGUAACAAGGUAGCCGUAUCGGAAGGUGCGGCUGGAUCACCUCCUUUCUAAGGA
rnacentral:rRNA from 1 species